rnacentral:rRNA from 1 species
GAUGAACGCUGGCGGCGUGCCUAAUACAUGCAAGUCGAGCGAACAGACGAGGAGCUUGCUCCUCUGACGUUAGCGGCGGACGGGUGAGUAACACGUGGAUACCCUACCUAUAAGACUGGGGUAACUUCGGCAAACCGGAUCUAAUACCGGAUCAUAUAUUGAACCGCAUGGUUCAUUAGUGAAAGACGGUUUUGCUGUCACUUUUAGAUGGAUCCGCGCCGCAUUAGCUAGUUGGUAAGGUAACGGCUUACCAAGGCAACGAUGCGUAGCCGACCUGAGAGGGUGAUCAGCCACACUGGGACUGAGACACGGUCCAGACUCCUACGGGAGGCAGCAGUAGGGAAUCUUCCGCAAUGGGCGAAAGCCUGACGGAGCAACGCCGCGUGCAUGAUGAAGGCCUUCGGAUCGUAAAACUCUGUUGUAAGGGGAGAAAAGGUGUGUAAGUAACUAUGCAGGUCUUGACGGUACCUAAACAGAAAGCACCGGCUAACUACGUG